rnacentral:rRNA from 1 species
AUUGAACGCUGGCGGCAGGCCUAACACAUGCAAGUCGAACGGUAACAGGAAGAAGCUUGCUUCUUUGCUGACGAGUGGCGGACGGGUGAGUAAUGUCUGGGAAACUGCCUGAUGGAGGGGGAUAACUACUGGAAACGGUAGCUAAUACCUCAUAACGUCGCAAGACCAAAGAGGGGGACCUUCGGGCCUCUUGCCAUCGGAUGUGCCCAGAUGGGAUUAGCUAGUAGGUGGGGUAACGGCUCACCUAGGCGACGAUCCCUAGCUGGUCUGAGAGGAUGACCAGCCACACUGGAACUGAGACACGGUCCAGACUCCUACGGGAGGCAGCAGUGGGGAAUAUUGCACAAUGGGAGCAAGCCUGAUGCAGCCAUGCCGCGUGUAUGAAGAAGGCCUUCGGGUUGUAAAGUACUUUCAGCGGGGAGGAAGGGAGUAAAGUUAAUACCUUUGCUCAUUGACGUUACCCGCAGAAGAAGCACCGGCUAACUCCGUG